CCCUUAGAUGUUCUGGGCUGCACGCGCGCUACACUGAUGCGCUCAACGAGUUUUAACCUUGCCUGGAAAGGUUGGGUAAUCUUUUUAAAACGCAUCGUGCUAGGGAUAGAUUGUUGCAAUUUUCAAUCUUGAACGAGGAAUUCCUAGUAAACGCAAGUCAUCAGCUUGCAUUGAUUACGUCCCUGCCAUUUGUACACACCGCCCGUCGUUGCUACCGAUUGGCUGUGAAAUAGAGCUUGGGGGAGGUUGUUCCUUUGUGGCGACACUCUGGACGUUCCGAAGCCAAGCAAUAUUUCUCAGCUAGAGGAAGCAAAAGUCGUAACA
rnacentral:rRNA from 1 species